UUGUGUAUCGUGUAGCAGUUGUGUUUCAUAUUGGUCAAAUAAAACAAAUUUAUUAUUCACGAAAAUUGAUUCUUGUAUGUCAGAAAAAAUUGAAUACAAAAACCGAAAACCGAGAAGAUAUUUGAGAUUUUAAAAUGAAUCGUUGCUCAGUAUUUUUUAUGGUGUUCGUCGCCGUCUUGUUGAUUAACAUUGUGAGCGCCGAUAUUUAUUGCAAUGAUCAAGGUGGAUGCAGUGGAGAUGGUGGACCAAGCGCAGACGUUCGUUGCGGCAAUUGCCAUUCAUGCACCUACAAAAGCUGUUGCCAUGUACGAUUUACUAAUGUGAAUACUCGUUGUGAUAUUGGUGGAUGGAGGUCGGACGAAUACAAGGCUCGCUGGAACGAGUAAAUUUUUGAUUUCAUUUCGAUGGG